rnacentral:rRNA from 1 species
UACGGGGGGGGCAAGCGUUGUUCGGAACUACUGGGCGUAAAGGGCUCGUAGGCGGCUCUCUAAGUCGGUCGUGAAAUCCCCCGGCUCAACCGGGGAAUGGCGUCCGAGACUGGGGAGCUUGAAUCCGGGAGAGGGACGUGGAAUUCCAGGUGUAGCGGUGAAAUGCGUAGAUAUCUGGAGGAACACCGGUGGCGAAGGCGGCGUCCUGGACCGGUAUUGACGCUGAGGAGCGAAAGCCACGGGAGCAAACGGG